AGCUGCAGAAUAAGCACCGGCUAACUUUGUGCCAGCAGCCGCGGUAAUACAGAGGGUGCAAGCGUUAAUCGGAAUUACUGGGCGUAAAGCGAGCGUAGGUGGCUUGAUAAGUCAGAUGUGAAAUCCCCGGGCUUAACCUGGGAACUGCAUCUGAAACUGUUAGGCUAGAGUAGGUGAGAGGGAAGUAGAAUUUCAGGUGUAGCGGUGAAAUGCGUAGAGAUCUGAAGGAAUACCGAUGGCGAAGGCAGCUUCCUGGCAUCAUACUGACACUGAGGCUCGAAAGCGUGGGUAGCAAACAGGAUUAGAUACCCUGGUAGUCCACGCCGUAAACGAUGUCUACUAGUCGUUGGGUCCCUUGAGGACUUAGUGACGCAGCUAACGCAAUAAGUAGACCGCCUGGGGAGUACGGCCGCAAGGUUAAAACUCAAAUGAAUUGACGGGGGCCCGCACAAGCGGUGGAGCAUGUGGUUUAAUUCGAUGCAACGCGAAGAACCUUACCUGGUCUUGACAUAUCUAGAAUCCUGCAGAGAUGCGGGAGUGCCUUCGGGAAUUAGAAUACAGGUGCUGCAUGGCUGUCGUCAGCUCGUGUCGUGAGAUGUUGGGUUAAGUCCCGCAACGAGCGCAACCCUUGUCCUUAGUUACCAGCGGGUUAAGCCGGGAACUCUAAGGAUACUGCCAGUGACAAACUGGAGGAAGGCGGGGACGACGUCAAGUCAUCAUGGCCCUUACGACCAGGGCUACACACGUGCUACAAUGGUAGGU
rnacentral:rRNA from 1 species